AGGUACUCCGGGGAUAACAGGCUGAUUCCGCCCAAGAGUUCAUAUCGACGGCGGAGUUUGGCACCUCGAUGUCGGCUCAUCACAUCCUGGGGCUGUAGUCGGUCCCAAGGGUAUGGCUGUUCGCCAUUUAAAGUGGUACGUGAGCUGGGUUUAAAACGUCGUGAGACAGUUUGGUCCCUAUCUGCAGUGGGCGUUGGAAGUUUGACGGGGGCUGCUCCUAGUACGAGAGGACCGGAGUGGACGAACCUCUGGUGUACCGGUUGUGACGCCAGUCGCAUCGCCGGGUAGCUAAGUUCGGAAGAGAUAAGCGCUGAAAGCAUCUAAGCGCGAAACUCGCCUGAAGAUGAGACUUCCCUUGCGGCUUGACCGCACUAAAGAGCCGUUCGAGACCAGGACGUUGAUAGGUGGGGUGUGGAAGCGCGGUAACGCGUGGAGCUAACCCAUACUAAUUGCUCGUGAGGCUUGACUCUAU
rnacentral:rRNA from 1 species